GAUGAACGCUGGCGGCGUGCCUAAUACAUGCAAGUCGAGCGAACGGACGAGAAGCUUGCUUUUCUGAUGUUAGCGGCGGACGGGUGAGUAACACGUGGAUAACCUACCUAUAAGACUGGGAUAACUUCGGGAAACCGGAGCUAAUACCGGAUAAUAUUUUGAACCGCAUGGUUCAAAAGUGAAAGACGGUCUUGCUUUCACUUAUAGAUGGAUCCGCGCUGCAUUAGCUAGUUGGUAAGGUAACGGCUUACCAAGGCAACGAUGCAUAGCCGACCUCAGAGGGUGGUCGGACACACGGGAACUGAGACACGGUCCAGACUCCUACGGGAGGCAGCAGUAGGGAAUCUUCCGCAAUGGGCGAAAGCCUGACGGAGCAACGCCGCGUGAGUGAUGAAGGUCUUCGGAUCGUAAAACUCUGUUAUUAGGGAAGAACAUAUGUGUAAGUAACUGUGCACAUCUUGACGGUACCUAAUCAGAAAGCCACGGCUAACUACGUG
rnacentral:rRNA from 1 species